GGAUUAGAUACCCUGGUAGUCCACGCCGUAAACGAUGUCUACUAGCCGUUGGGAGACUUGAUUUCUUAGUGGCGCAGCUAACGCACUAAGUAGACCGCCUGGGGAGUACGGCCGCAAGGUUAAAACUCAAAUGAAUUGACGGGGGCCCGCACAAGCGGUGGAGCAUGUGGUUUAAUUCGAUGCAACGCGAAGAACCUUACCAGGCCUUGACAUCCUGCGAAUUUGGAAGAGAUUCCUUAGUGCCUUCGGGAACGCAGUGACAGGUGCUGCAUGGCUGUCGUCAGCUCGUGCUG
rnacentral:rRNA from 1 species